rnacentral:rRNA from 1 species
AGGGUUUGAUCCUGGCUCAGAACGAACGCUGGCGGCAUGCCUAACACAUGCAAGUCGAACGAACCCUUCGGGGUUAGUGGCGCACGGGUGCGUAACGCGUGGGAACCUGCCUUUUGGUUCGGAAUAACAGUGAGAAAUUGCUGCUAAUACCGGAUAAUGUCUUCGGACCAAAGAUUUAUCGCCAUUAGAUGGGCCCGCGUAGGAUUAGCUAGUUGGUGGGGUAAAGGCCUACCAAGGCGACGAUCCUUAGCUGGUCUUAGAGGAUGAUCAGCCACACUGGGACUGAGACACGGCCCAGACUCCUACGGGAGGCAGCAGUGGGGAAUAUUGGACAAUGGGCGAAAGCCUGAUCCAGCAAUGCCGCGUGAGUGAUGAAGGCCUUAGGGUUGUAAAGCUCUUUUACCCGGGAUGAUAAUGACAGUACCGGGAGAAUAAGCCCCGGCUAACUCCGUGCCAGCAGCCGCGGUAAUACGGAGGGGGCUAGCGUUGUUCGGAAAUACUGGGCGUAAAGCGUGCGUAGGCGGCUUGGCAAGUCAGGGGUGAAAUCCCAGAGCUCAACUCUGGAACUGCCCUUGAAACUGCCGAGCUAGAAUCUUGGAGAGGUCAGUGGAAUUCCGAGUGUAGAGGUGAA